UGGAAUGGAAAUGAGCAUGUGGCAAUCUUACAUGAAGAUGAGGGAGCAAAUACUGGAGAUGGUCUGCUUCUUUUUAUUGGUGGCCUAGACCCUUUGACAAUUUAGUGAAGCCUAUGCACCCCUUCUCCGAAUCAGAUUUCUGCAGACAUAAAAUAAAAUACAUAGAAUUACAGAAGCAAAUCAUAUUGAAAAUAUUUUCAAGAUACCUGCAAAUAAUUGUAAUGUGUGAAAAUAUCUAAUUUUUAUUGUUAAUAGGUUACCCAUAUUGCUAAUACCACUAUGGAUUUUGCCUAUGUUCACAAUUUAAAGAAAUAUUAGAUUUCAGGAAUGAUGAGAAGACAGCAGCUGAUUAUAAAAUCCUAGGUGGUUCAGUCCUCCACCUGGUGUUGGCUCUAAGAGGAGGAGGUGGCUUUAGGCAGUGAUGGACCCUCUCUCCAUUUUACCUCCUUACCCUGUCUCUCGUGAUGAGGCAUCAUAUAUCCUGUCACUCUCUGGGACACCAGAGUCACUGCCCCCUCUCCUGGAUGCCCAGUCUUGUGUGUCUACGGGUAGGAGACUAUGAGGACCCCAGGAUGCAGUGUUCCUGUCCCAAAUGGCCCCUGCUGGCUAUUGGGUUUUAGUUGCAGUCCUGUGUACUUCCCUCUCUUAUGGCUAUGUCCCUGGUUGUCAAUAAAAUGUUUCCUGGCC